CACGUAGGGCGCAAGCGUUGUCCGGAAUUAUUGGGCGUAAAGAGCGCGUAGGCGGCCAUGCAGGUCCGUUGUGAAAACUCGAGGCUCAACCUCGAGACGCCGAUGGAAACUGCAUGGCUAGAGUCCGGAAGAGGAGAGUGGAAUUCCUGGUGUAGCGGUGAAAUGCGCAGAUAUCAGGAAGAACACCCGUGGCUAAGGCGGCUCUCUAGUACGGUACUGACGCUGAGGCGCGAAAGCGUGGGGAGCAAACAGG
rnacentral:rRNA from 1 species